CUUGUCUUCAAACCAACAUUGUGUUCCUAAGUAUAAGAUACAAUAUGGAAGACAUGAUAUGAGAAGACAAACCCUGGGACAUAGAAAUUCAGACCACUGUGAGCUUCUUCCACAAGUGAGUAAGUACAUUUAUUUUCUACUUUCUCUCAGUUGCCAAACAGCAGUCCUCACCAAUGCCACGGCUCUCUCCUAUACCCUGCAUUUUCCCAUGGAACAUUCACCGAGUGGGGUAAGAACUUGUGGAGACUAACAUUUUGCAUCGUCCAGAUAGGAUUUUAUGGAAUUCAUAAUUGCCCGAUUAAAUGACAGUCAAAUUCUCAGGUAUUUCAUGAAGUUUUGAAUGCUUAGUUGUGGUUUCCAAUGUGAGAUGUGUGCCAAGAAGAUUCGUAACCCAGGGGAUUAUUAAUGCUUCAUAUUUUAGUUUAUUACUAAUUCCCACUAUAUUGAUAGGGAAGUGAUUUUUUCAGGUGCAUAAAUGGAUACUGGUAGACCUCUAAGUGGACAUGUUUCAAAGGACAAUAACAUGAGCCUGAAGUUUAGAGGUGAUGUCAAGACUAAACACAUCAAUAUUCAGAUCUUUGGGGGUACACAGGACUAAUGUGUUCACCAUGUAAGUAAGCCAGUAGAAGAAGAGAAAACAAGUCCCAUGGAUAAGUCUCGAGCAUCCUAAUGCAUAAGGGUUGGCAGAGAGUCCUCAGUAGUAGCCCAAGAAGGAGGGGACAGUGGAGAAGAAAGAAAAUCGCAUACUGCAUUGAAUAGUGAAGUUUAUUCUGUAGGCUAAAGAGAAUGUGUUUCAAACAGAAGAAAGUCAUCCACUGUGUGAAGGGUGCUGAGGCUUACCAAGAAGAGGUCUUAGAACUGUCCAUUAGCUCUGACAGUAUGGAAAUUGUCAAAGACCCAGGCAGGAGCAGGGAAGGGACCAAAGCCUAGUAAGUAUAAAUUGAAGAGAAGAAGAAGGGUGGGGAUAAGUGGAAGUUGAGAUCAUGGAGUGGUAGGUGAAGGAAGAGGUGUUAAUAGAAAGCUUUUACAAUUGAGUUCCGUAGAUGUUCAGAUCGACCAUGUUAUUGCACUUUGGUUUGCUGAUGACAGUGAGUACUAAAAGGGUGGGGAGGUGGGAGAUGAUGCAAGAGGUAAGAAGCGAAAAUUGCUGAAGCACAAUGCUUGCGUAUGCAAGGGGGAAUCUGGUCCAGUGUAUAAAGUGAGGUAUUGAUAUUCGGUACAACGUAUAGAGUAAUAUCACUGACAUGGGA
rnacentral:lncRNA from 1 species